rnacentral:rRNA from 1 species
GACGAACGCUGGCGGCGUGCUUAACACAUGCAAGUCGAACGAAGAGCGAUGGAAUCUUGCUUCUAUCAAUCUUAGUGGCGGACGGGUGAGUAACGCGUAAUCAACCUGCCCUUCAGAGGGGGACAACAGUUGGAAACGACUGCUAAUACCGCAUACGAUCUAAUCUCGGCAUCGAGGGUAGAUGAAAGGUGGCCUCUACAUGUAAGCUAUCACUGAAGGAGGGGAUUGCGUCUGAUUAGCUAGUUGGAGGGGUAACGGCGCACCAAGGCGAUGAUCAGUAGCCGGUCUGAGAGGAUGAACGGCCACAUUGGGACUGAGACACGGCCCAGACUCCUACGGGAGGCAGCAGUGGGGAAUCUUCCGCAAUGGACGAAAGUCUGACGGAGCAACGCCGCGUGAGUGAGGACGGCCGUCGGGUUGUAAAGCUCUGUUAAUCGGGACGAAAGGCCUUCUUGCGAAUAGGGAGAAGGAUUGACGGUACCGGAAGAGAAAGCCACGGCUAACUACGUG